rnacentral:lncRNA from 1 species
AAAGAUUGCAUCUAAACCAAAACCAAGUAAAGUACCAACAAGGACUAUCAGUAAUCAUGGAUAUUUACUCUGAAAAUGUGAUACAUACAAAGUUCAUUAACAACAACCACAAUGUGACUCUUUGCACCCUCGAACCGACGUCGUCGGCAGCCGUGACGAUCUUGCUACUCAAUGGAUGAUGGAUUCAACACCAUAACAAACAGAACCACCUGCAGCAACAACAUCUACAAAUAGAAUCAGAUGAAUUUUAAAAAUGUUGGAUCAACGUUUGCAGAGAAAAUGUCAGUUAGUGGUUUUGAGUGAGAGUAGCUGGAGUGGGUGACGGAGAAGGCGGCGGUGUGGUUAUUAGGUUUCGUGGUGGAUUUUCACGGCGAUUUGGGGUUGAUGAAGGUUGCUACUGUUGAGGGGGUUACAGUGAAGGCGAUUUGAAUGUGGUGAGGGAUUUUUGUACGAGGUUUCAUGGUGUGCGAUGGUGAGUGGGUCGUGGGAUUUAGUGGUUGACGGUGGUGAGUGGUACGAGGGGUCUGGAUUUGCGGAGGAAGAUCGUUGAAGAGGGUUUCGCCGGUGAAUGCGUCGUGAAGGUUAGGGUGGAUCGGUGGUAGAUUUGGG